GCCAGCCCGCUCAGAAACUUAAAAUGAAUUGACGGGGGCCCGGCACAAGCGGUGGGAGCAUGUGGUUUAAUUUCGAUGGAUACGACGACGGAACCUUACCUGGGCUCAAAUGUAUGUUGACGUAUUCUGAAAGGGAUACUUCUUCGGACAAUAUACAAGGUGCUGCAUGGUUGUCGUCAGCUCGUGCGUGAGAUGUUGGGUUAAGUCCCGCAACGAGCGCAACCCUUGUCCUUAGUUACCAGCACGUUAUGGUGGGCACUCUAAGGAGACUGCCGGUGACAAACCGGAGGAAGGUGGGGAUGACGUCAAGUCAUCAUGGCCCUUACGGCCUGGGCUACACACGUGCUACAAUGGUCGGUACAAAGGGUUGCCAAGCCGCGAGGUGGAGCUAAUCCCAUAAAACCGAUCGUAGUCCGGAUCGCAGUCUGCAACUCGACUGCGUGAAGUCGGAAUCGCUAGUAAUCGUGAAUCAGAAUGUCACGGUGAAUACGUUCCCGGGCCUU
rnacentral:rRNA from 1 species